rnacentral:miRNA from 1 species
UAUUAAGUUGGUGCAAAAGUAAUAGUGGUUUUUGCUGUUUUACAAAAUGAUAAAAACUGUGAUUACUUUUGAACCAAUCUAAUA